UCUACGAUGGAGCUUACCGAGAGGGCUGAGGGCGACGGCGGCGCUGGGUUGCAGGGAGUGAUCGGCGACGCGACAAGGGGGGUCUCUAUGGUGGUGCGACACCGAAGGAAGAGAGAGAGCGUGAGUUAAGAGAGAGAAACAGUGGGUCCGAAACAAAAGAGAGAGAAGGAGGUGAGGUUGGUGGUCGGCUUACCGAAAAUAGGUGGCUGAGCUAGGGCUGGGCUGGUCGGCACCGUCUGCGACGCCGGAAUGGAGUCCCGCGUCUCUGAGCGGCGUGGAGUUAAUGCGAGAAGGAGUGGGUGGCUCACGGUUCUCUUCUCGUACACGAGUUGCUUAUCUUGUCAGAUAAUGGAUCAGGAGAACAAUCUUCAAUACACCAAAAUGAGAGCAAUUAACGGAUGAAUUCGUACUGAGAAUGGUUGAAACCAGGAACUUGUGUAACAUUCGGGCUCUAAGCCCAGUUCUUUUGAAGUCAGCCCGGUUGCACGAAGCCCAGCCCACGAGCACUUGAUGAGAGGCUCGAACGAAGUCGUUUUGGUCACUUUCUCUUUCACUAGAGAUUGCUGUGAAUUUUUCUGGACGUAGACUACAAUGGGUUGCGUUGGUUCGAAGUGGUUUGAAGUUUUCGUGACUCUGUUAGGUGGUGUCACUACUAGAGUUCUGACUCAAGGUAUUGAUAAUACAAGGAAGUCAGGUAAGCGGGGUUCAUAUACUAGUUUUGCAUAAAAGAAAUGAAAUAAGGUUGACUUUGAAAUAAGCAUGUUUAUUUUUUAAAGAAAUCUGAAAAUGACCUCAGAUGUUUAUUCUGCAUAUGCAAAAAUUCUACAUAGGAGAAAAUAUUUUUCUGUCAUAACUAGUGUAGAUACGAGCUAAUUUUGUGUAUUUUGUUUUCUGAACUAUGCAAAAGAGCGAAUAUGAA